rnacentral:rRNA from 1 species
AACGUAGGAGACAAACGUUAUCCGGAGUUACUGGGCGUAAAGGGCGUGCAGGUGGUCUGUUAAGUCUGGCGUGAAAUCUCUCGGCUCAACCGGGAGAGGUUGUCCGAUACUGCUGGACUUGAGGGCAGUAGAGGGUGGUGGAAUUCCGGGUGUAGUGGUGAAAUGCGUAGAUAUCCGGAGGAACACCAGUGGCGAAAGCGGCCACCUGGACUGCACCUGACGCUGACACGCGAAAGCUAGGGGAGCGAACGGG